UGUCGUUUUGUAUUAAUCGACUAACCUUUUCAUCAUGAAAUAUCUGAGAAUAACUGAAAACAUUUUCGAGUACAGAAAUUAACAAAAAUUGAUUGUGCGCUCAGAAAAGAUCAGUCGAGAUGAGCUCGAGGGACUCGAUUCGCCGAUCUUCAUCGAUUCGAAAUAUUUUUUUUUCAACCAACAACGGCUACUGAUAACUUUUUUUCCAUGUUAUUCCAAGGGGUGUGGUUUACAGUGACCAAAAUUUAUCUAACGUCGUGAAAACUCCUUCUGAGUAUUGUAAAACGUCGGCAAGGCGUCGGUGGGAGGAGCUUAUUUUCCCUUGCGCUUUGCAUCUUUUAGAGUAGUGAGCAAGGGUUCAGUCGAUAUCAAACUCUUUAGUAGGCAAAAUCUUCAAUUUUACGGCGAUUUCUUAGCAUAUUUGCAUUUUUUCUUAAUUAAUAAAUCGACUUUUACGGAUUUCUUUGCGUUUUUCCCGCUCGGUCAGACUGAAGAUUUCAAUGCCGAUUUAUUAAAAUCGGAAUGUUCCUUCUACAAAAAGAUGUUUUACUCAAUGAACGAGAAAAAAGUGAUGAAGUGAAGUGUUUAACAAUCAUUGAACAUUAAAAAAACAUGAAAAAUUUUAUGGAUAAUGUGCAAUGCGGCAUUGGAUGAACUCUAACUCUUUCCGGCCAUUUGUGCUGCGAUGGAAAGGGAACCGUGGGGAGCGGUGAUUAACUGGAUAAUGAAUUUCUUACCCUCUGGCAUCUUACCCCCUCAUUACGAGGCCUCGACCCCGGUAAUUUCACGGGACAGUCGGUCGAAAUUAGUUGACCGGUUUAUACAGCACGACUUGGUUGAGUUUGACUGGAAUCGGUAAGAAAAAUAACGGAUCGCUGGAGCGUUGAAAAAAAAAAUGGAGACUGUCACGUCUGUUGCCCGAAGUAUAUUCAAUCGAUCUAAUUUCAAGUUGCCAUCAUGAACGUGAAAUAGUCCUGUAAAAUACGUGACACGAGAAUUUACAGGUGAAAACAACGUCAUGUCCUUGGCAGUUAAACUGAAGGAAUGAAAAAAUAUAUAACGGUGUGAGUAUUGUCAACACACGUGAGAUAUUUUAUUUUGUAUUCAGCAGUUGAUUCUGGAAAUAAAACAAAACUAAUGCUGUCUUUCUUUCCCCUCGAUGUUCCAUAUAUCUGAGUUUCUGCUGUGAUGCUGAUAAAUCAGCAGGACGCUCUCGAUAACCGGAUUAACGACGUUCGUCAUGAAACGUGGGGGGUACACUUGGGCUAGAACAUUAUAAAAGAGAAAAAAAGGAAAGGAAAACAAGAAUGAGAUGAGGAAAAAAAAAAUGAAAACAAAAUAGUUGGAAAGAAGGCAGUUUACGCUGUGGUCACGCAACUGUUCCGGACAUCGACUUGCCAUAGUGUAGACAAAGAUGGAGAGGAAGCCACAAUGGAGUGAAGUAGAAACGGUUAAAUGGGCGGGAAUUCAUUCACGCGCGAGAAUCCGGAGAAAAGUAUGAUGGGAGGGGGGUGAAAAAAUUAGAAACAUGAAUGAAAUGAUGAAAACUUUCCCACAAUUAGAGAGAGUAAGGAGAUUGGGAAAAGACCAGGCGAAGGGAAAUAUUCGUUUGGAUUAAGCGGACGGAGUCCUUGAGGGGGUUUGUAGGGGAAGAAUGUCCAUCAAGAGCAACAGCAUAUGCAGUUCGACUACUUGAGAUGAGGCGUGCGUAGUCCAGCGUUUAUAUACGCGUCGAUAUCCAGUCAACUAUACAAGCCAGUUCCAUGAAAUCAUGCAUCACCAGGAGAGAUGGAAUGGCAACUGGAAAAGAUGUUACGAGAGGAUGGGAUUUAUUUGCACGUACAAUCGAAACGACUUUAGUCCGUGGAUUCAAUGAUAGGAGAAUAGAGUCUCAACUGAUAAUUGAAGUGGUCAGCAUCUCAUUCAGCUAAAUAUGUCCACCGAGUGAACCCGACGAGACACGAUUAUGCUCAACGAUAGUUACACAGUUGGUGGAAGACUGAAAGGGCACACAUCAGACUGAAGAAAAGUGCUCGGACGAUUUCUCGGUGUUUUGGUACAAAAAUGGAUCUAUUCACUUUGUCAUCCGGACGCACACGUGAGGAUGAUGUUUUAAGGUGCUUGGACUCAGCGGGGGCUCGUAUACAGUAAUCUGAGUAGUCAGGCUCUUUCCUCGCGUGUAUCCAGAUCCCAUCUCACUGAUUCUGAACUCACAGCGGCCAAAGGACAGAGGUAUUCUGCUUUGACAAUGCCGACUCACGUCCACCCGCCCAUCCGCGGCGAUCUGGUUCACUCCUGGCGGGAUCUGGUGGGCGUCCCAGAUCGCACUAUGAAGGAGAUGUAAUAAAAGAGCAAUUGUGCAUACGCGGAUGAAGAGGAAGCGAUCCUGAGAAUCGAGGAGGAGAGGGCGUACUGUUUAUCGAGUGUGUUGCCCCAUUAUUAUUUCAUCGAACUCUUUCAUGGAGCUGUUGCUAAUCGAGGUAACUCAGCUGUUUUUUCACUUCAUGAAAUAUAUUCGAUGGUGAAAAGCCCGUCGAACGUUACUCUUGUGGGGAUUUUUUUUCCCUCGUCAUUCAACAACGAGAUAUGUGGAUACUUCGAUUUGAUGGAAUCUAAUUGGAUAUGAAAUUAAGUCAACGAAAUUCCAACAAAAAUCCGGCGCCACUGGAUAUUUGAAAUUUAUAUUUUUCGAAGCUGCGCUUACAAACGCGUUUGUGCAUUCGUCAUCUUUUUCUACUGGGAGUCACUCGUCGAUGGAACUCGGAACCAAAUGUCGAUAAAAAUUGGUUCGGUGACAUGAAGAAUUAUGGAGAAUAUUGAAUACAGUUGCAACAGACAGACAUCCACCGAUGGAACACCUGACAUCUACUGGAGAUAGCGCGAAAAAUCCAAGAAUUUUCCCGCCUAAAAUUCCUGAAAACUGAUGAACUCCUGGGAUAGCCGGAGCAUUAUGCAACGAAUUGGGUGUCGAAUAUUUCGGUAUCAUUGUUCUUCGAUGAAUAAAGGAAAACAACGUGAAGGAGAAUGCAAAGAAGAAAGAGGAAAAAACUACCGAGUCGACUCGUUCAUCGUUCUCUUUCUCGGGAGUUGACCGGGUAGAAAGCAAACGACGCAAAAACUGGGCAAAGGCAUUGUGCCCAGACUACUCCGGUGAGGCAACAUUGGACAACGCCAAAAGCCAUGUGCAUACCAACCUUCCUGUGUGAUGCCUUUUGCCAACCACCUGAAAAUCUCAGCAGGCAUCGGUGGAUUUGAUUUUUAAAUGCAAACAAAUCUACAUCGUGACAAAAGGACCGCCGUCCCGUCACUCACUGGUUCCUCAACUCUCGUACGAACCUCUCAUUGGGAUUUUUUCAAUCAUCCGUGGGCAUGUCUCUACCGUUGGUAAUUGUUGAUGAACGACUGUAGAGUGAUGACCCACACGUUAUAUCGAUGACCCGAUUUAUUUCCGUCAAAACAUGAUUUUUUUAAAAUGUUAGAUAAAUAAUAGAAAUUUUUUGUUCAAUGAAAUUGCACAGCCAAAGGAAAGAGUGUGUUGACUUUAAAAAAAGGGGUUCUAUAGUUUUCAAUUUUUAUAUUAAAAUUGACAAAUAUCAAGUAAUUGUUGUAUUAUAAAAAACAAAUUUUAUUAGGACAAUUAUGGAUAAGACUGUGGAAAGCAAUGGAAAGAGCAAUUCGGGAAUAAUGUUAUUUGAAAUAUUAUUAUUGCUACAAAGCAUUGAAAAUUAUAAUCUUCCUGUGAAUUGAGGUGAACGGAUAUUUUUGUUAUUUUGGACCUUCGACACAGACAUUUUCUGUGAAGUUAACGAAGGAGAAUAAAUAAAUACAUCAUAUAUAUUUUAUGUUCUAAAUUAAACAUUCAAUAGAAUUUAUUAUAAUUAUAAAAGAUGUGCCCAGAGGACCACAACCCACCGGACGUUUUGUCAAGUCAGCUCACGUUUUUCAUGGAAUUUACGAUAUUAACAACAGCGAUCAUUAAAUUUAUUGUACUUAAAAUCGACAUAACAAUGUUGAAUGAAUUACUAAAUGACUCUUUUGAGGUUUCUCUGGUAUUUAAAUAUUUAUACUUAAUUUUGGAUGAUUUAAUAUAGAUUUACUCUACUGUAAACUCUCUUAGAUAUACACUUGAAUGAAAAAAACUAAAAGUGAAAAUGUAUUUCACUCAAUCUCCAGUAGACCAGAGAUUUCAAUUAAAACAUGAUAUGUUUUGUUGAAGCUUCGCGAAUUUUAGCAAAAAUUUACUGAGGAAGUAGGAAAAUUGGUCCACUGUGUUAAAACGUGAGCUAUUAAAUAAUAAUAUAAAUUGAAAACUUUAUAUUUUUUUCUCAAUGUAAGGUAACUGCUGCAGUUUCUGAUUAGUUACAUCCAGUGAUGAGAAUGAAAGGUGCCUAAAAAAGGUCAAUCAAAACCGAUUGAAACUUCUUUUAACUUCAACUGUGGAUAUUUAUUAAUAAGUAUCAAUAAAUUUGCUUCAGCUGAACAUUAAAUAAUUGAUUAAAAUCACAGUUCUGAAGAAUUCAAUUUUGUGGAGUUUCUGAUCACGAUAUGAUGCGGUUUCUAAUCACGAAAAUAUGUGGUUUAGAAUUCAUGUAGAAAUUCUUGUUUGAUAAUCAGAGCCGAUAGCUGAUCACUGAUAGCCAAAAUACUGUUCAUCUUAAAAAAUUCAGGAACUCAGUUAUCAGUGCUCCAUUGAUAUAUAGUUUAUAUCAAUCAUUAUUGUCACUGCAGAUCAAUAUGAUCAUCAAGACAAGAGAAAACUAUAUGAAUAUCCAAGUUGAAUACCACUGAUUAACAACUGGAGCAGCUUAGAAUUUUGUACUAAUUAAUACUAAUUGGCGUAGGCUGUUUAAUAUUCCGAGUCAUUUAUUAUUAAUUGAAGAUGUGAUACCAACUAUUAUCACACUAACUCAUCACUUACAUGAUGAAAUACCACUGCUAGAAAUGCACUUGCGCUGCUACUUCACUCCCCAAUAAACCAUUGAAAUUGGCAGCUUGUCAGGUCCAUGGCAUUUCACGAAUUAUUUUGACGGUAUCCAGAGCCUAUUGGUCACAUGAUUCCAAUUGAAAAUUAAACUAGAAUCUGCAUUCUUUUCUUUAUCGCUAACAAAACUGUCGAUAAUUCGAUCAAAACUCACCAAAUCCUCAAAAAUACGGAUCAGUGAUCGGAGACUACUCACGAUCAGAAAUACCCGCAGUUACCUUACGAUCAAUAAAUUGUAUUAUAAUAAUUAUAUGGGAAAAUCCCCAAUUUACCACUCAAAAACAUCCCCAAUCCCACACAAAAAUUUCGUGAAAAAUUUGAUCCCGAUAAAUUUAAAACAAUUGCUUCCAUUCCAAAACAAUAAAAUCCGAACCAGCAAUCACUAUUCCCUCAGAACUAUUGACUGAACAACUAAAAAUAAUUCUCAUAUUUUCUCUCUCCAUGUACAUCUCGUCAGUACAUAGCUCCAUGUAUUCUCCACUGCAUUAAUAACUUAUAAAAGAAAUGAAACAGACAGAGAAUGACGAUCCCCGAGUCGCGCCGACUGUUGGCCUGUUAUACAUUGAUGACCAUGGAAGAGAGGGAAACAUAAUUACCCCUGGAUUAAUGAGACGGCAUAAUUGCACGAUAAUCGACGAUCGUUUUAUUAGACCGAGCAACGUAAGGCAGAGACUCCCCAUCGCAUAUUAUUAAAAGCCCUUCAACGUUAAGAUCAAGGGACAAAAUACAACGUUGAGUAUGUUUGGAUGGCCAGAAAUGACAAUUACCCUUGUACGGUGGAAUGGGGAUGAGGGCACAUCAUUGGAUCAAGUUAAAGAAACACCGCCACUGAGACUCAAACAAUCCAUGGAAUGCAACGUCAUUGGUUCAACCCAGUGCUCCUGGUGGAUGGACCCAUGGAUUGUGGGAUCCAAAAAUCCUCAAGCGUAUGACAACGACUAUGAAGAUGGUGAUCCAUGAUUAAACAAGAAAAACUAACAGGUAAAUACGCUGCCCCUCUCCUGUCAUCCAAAAAGAUCUACAAGGGGACCGCAGCUGGAAAAACACAAAGUUGAGCGCAAGCUUUGCGCGCUUGUAUUUUCAAAACUAUCAUCAAAAUAAUAAAAAAUGUAGAAACCUUUUUUAUGUGGAAUUUCAUAAGGAAGAAUUUUGUAUUGAUUUAUUUUUUUGUUAGGGACGAUAUUCACGCAGAUAUUCAUAUUCUUCGUGAUAUUCUCCAGUGAAAAUAUCAGCCCAGCCUCAAGUUUGAUCAGAAUUUGAUAUCACGGUAGUCAGGUCCGCCUGAUCGUGCGAAACUUGAAGAAUUCAUCGAUCUUUGAUUUACUCAACCUAAUCUCCAUUACCCUGAUCAACUUCUGACACGGCGAGGUUCACCUAAACCUGCGGUUCUUACAUCUGUAAUCCCUUUCAUCAAAUCGCGAUGAAGUGGGAAAUUGUAUUUUCCUAAAAGACAAUGCAGUCGUGUUGAUUAAGACUCGAAUAUAAAAGUCGCCAGGUAUUUCGUAUCACCAAGGACUUACUCCAUUAUCACCAAUGAAAAAUAUUGAGACAAAAAUGAAUCGUCUGUCUAUAGUUGUUUUCACUCCAUCUCAGUAUAUUAUAAUUUUUAUAGUUUUUCUCCAAACAGUACCGAAAUGUUUAGAACGAUUUCCAUAAAUAGAACUAUGGAAGAAACAGAAAGGGAUGAAUAAACAAGGGCCUUUUGUCAAAUAGGUCUAGAGUGUGAAAUCUUUGCUCACCAAGAGUCAGUUGAUCUGGA